GAAUUUUCGGCACUGGGGGGAACCCUGCCCGCGCAAUGCCGCGUGAACGAUGAAGAACUUCGGAUUGAAAAGUUCUGUAAUUAGGAAAGAAUAACAUAACUAGCAAAUGAGAUAUGUAUGACGAUACCAAAAUCCAAAGCCCCGGCCAACUAUGACAAAGCCGCCGCGGUAAUACAUAGGGGGCGGGCGCUAUCCGGAAUUAUUGGGCGUAAAGGGUGAGUAGGCGGUUUAUUAAGUCUGGCGUGAAAUCCCACAGCUUAACUGUGGAGGGUCGUUGGAAACUGGUAAACUUGAGUACAGUAGAGGUAAGUGGAAUUCCAAGUGGAGCGGUGGAAUGCGUAGAUAUUUGGAGGAACACCAGUGGCGAAGGCGGCUUACUGGGCUGGAACUGACGCUGAGGCACGAAAGCGUGGGGAGCAAACAG
rnacentral:rRNA from 1 species